ensembl:lncRNA
CUGAAAGUCACAUCCUUAAGAAAUAAAAAAUCCAAAGACCUUGAACAUAUUUAUUGUCUUUAAAGCAGCUUCUGAAUUAUUGAAUUCAACAGUUCAUGUUUCUUAUUUACAACAGCUGUGCUCAGUUCUGAGAGCUCUUCAUUUCUAAUGAUCGCUGGACUAAUUUCUGGAAUCACAUUUAUUUUCCUCCUGCUCUUGCUGUGUUGCUGCAUGAAGUCCAAAGUGUUUAAUAAAGGUUCAGCUGAUGACCAGAGGGUGAGUCAGGAUGAAGAUCAGCAGCAGGUGAUCGUUGUGUCUAUGAGACAAUCAGAGGCUCUAAAAACACUGAGACUGGUCAAAUAGAAGGUGAUUCAUGUGUGAUUCAGCUCAAAGUGAUUAACAAGACACGUGAGUAUCCAACAUAAAAUAUAUUACAUUUGCAAAACUGUUUGUUUUUUAAAUGCUUUCAUUUCAUCACCUCCACAGAGCCCCGUGGUGACCCAGAGGAGAGCUCUGACUAUUAUAAUGUCAAUCCAAAUUCAACCCCAGGUCCAUAAAGAGCAGCUCACCAUCAACAGAAUGAGGAAAGUGACUGAUGACAACAGCUUCUGUUGAGGAGACAAUAUGACAGGUUUUACAUCACAUUAUAGCCAAACGUCUAAAAUAUUUUUAAAAUUGUUUUCUGUUGAUAUAUUUUCUGUUUAAUUUUUCUCUUUGAUUUCCUCCCUGACACUGUGGUAUCAGUUUGUUAGAAAUAAUAUUAAAUGGUAUAAUGUACACUUAGUUUAGCAGAAAUGUGUAUUACCAUUUAGUAUCCAUGUUAUCUGGGAGCAUUUAUAGCUUUUAUAGAAAAUAUAUAAAAUGCAGCUACAAGACAUUUGAAACACUUGAUGUUUAGCAGCUAAUAAUCUGAUUUUAAAUUCAGCUUUUGCUGUGUCACAUGCAGGUAACAGUGAAUAUUAUUGCUGUAUGUGAUCUCCUACAUUAUGUCAGACUUAAUGAUGCAACACAUGCUGUAUGGAUUUGAAUGUAUCAGUGAAUGUAUUUUGUAUGUGUGUGUUUUCUCUGGAGUUUUUUAUUUCUAGCUAUGAGCUGUAUUUCUGUUGUAUCCUACAUCAUGUUUGUAAAAUAAAACUCAGAACCAAAGGUUUAUAUUAAGCUUUUAUUUAAAUUAUGCACUAUGAACACAGACAAUUAUAAUUAUAUUGAAGCUUAAUCUACAGCUUUAUUGGUUCCUUUAAUUGCUGCUAAUUUUAUUCAUUUUGAUAUUUGAUAUUUUGUGUUAAAGUGUAACAGGACAAGCAGCAAAGUCAGCUUUUUGUCACAUUUCUACUUUUCGUCCUCCUCUUCUUCUUUCGUCUUCAACAACUGUGCUGUAAAAACUUCCAAACUUUG